UGGUUCUUCAAAGGUUCUGAAACGAUGGUAAAGGUUCUAUAUAGAACCAUAGCUUACUGAAGAACCCUUUUUCCCCAAAAUGGUUCUUUGUCUUGUCAAAAGGUUCUUUAUUUCCCUCCUUUUUUAUUUUAAAUUUAGUCAGUUAUUAGUCCUGAUUAUUUUCACCUGUGAAAGCCCUGAAUCAUCAGUCCUGCUGAACCGCCUGCAGACUAACAUCACAAACAGGUAAGAGAGGAAAAUAAUCAUCAUUUACUGUUAAAAACAUUAUGAAAAUUGAAGUUUUGUGUGUUCUUAUUGUAAUUUAUUUAUUUUAUAGCAGGUAAACGUUAUACCGUAAGGUUCAUUCCCUUUAUAGCAGAGUUUUCGUAUGUGAGGUAAUCUUGUUUUAAGGCACUGCGUUUGACCGAUUGAUAUGAGAGACACAUCCUGUUUUUAAAGGUACACUUUAUACCGUAAGCUUCAUUCUCUUUAUAGCAGAGUUUUCGUAUGUGAGGUAAUCUUGCUGGGAGUGAAGGCAGUGCGUAUGACCACUUGAUAUGAGAGACACUUCCUGUUUUUAAAGGUAAACUUUAUACUGUAAGCUCCAUUCCCUUUAUAACAGAGUUUUCGUGAGGUAAUCUGUCUUAUGCUGGGAGUGAAGGCAGUGCGUAUGAUCACUUGAUAUGAGAGACACAUCCUGUUUUUAAAGGUGGAUCAUGAGUGAAGCUCUGAUGGUCGGCCAUUGACUUGAUAACAGUGGUUUAUGUUUAUUCAAUUUAUGAAUAAAUCUCUCGCCAACCAUUCACCUAUUUACUGACAAAACAGAUCCAAAUCUUGUACAGCCUGAUGCUCAUCCUUCUAUGAUGAUGACCACUGCAAGGUGAUGGGAAUCUGUGGUUCUCACAGCCUGCGUCUCAAGAUCAACAUGACAACAGCAGUCAUCUCUUAUCUUACUCUUAUCUGACUAAAUGUUCAACCUCAUUGUCACAAAACAAAGAAUAUUGGAUGGAGUAUGUACUGUACAAUGAUCCAGCAAACAAAAUAAUUUGGACUUUUUUGGCGAGAUUCUACAAACAUUGACACAAUCCUAUUGACUUUUAUAUUUACAGUUAGUAAUGUAUUAUUAACAUCCCAUUAUUCUGUAUUCUAUGCCAUUUAUCUGUUUGUGCUAAAGUGUUUACAUCUGAAUGUAAUGUCAUAAUAUGUUAAAAUUCAGUAUUUAUUAUCAUUUGCCUGUUUUGAUGUCGCAUAUGUCAUGAUUUUAUUGAUUUCAUGUUAUUGUUGUCUAUUUAGAAUGAUUGUCUUUGCCAAAUUUUAUUGUUCAUUUAUUUAAUUUUGGAGCUGUCAUUUAACAUCCAUAUCUUAUUUGAGUAGUGAUUUGUUAUAUUUGCAUAAUAAUUCAUAUAUUUAUUUUGAUUGUGAUUUUAUUGCACAUAUUUGUUAUUGUAUGAUAUCUCAUGUAAUGAAAAAGUGAAA